rnacentral:rRNA from 1 species
UACGGGGGGGAGCAAGCGUUGUUCGGAUUUACUGGGCGUAAAGGGCGCGUAGGCGGCCAACUAAGUCAGACGUGAGAUCCCUCGGCUUAACCGGGGAACUGCGUCUGAUACUGGAUGGCUUGAGUUUGGGAGAGGGAUGCGGAAUUCCAGGUGUAGCGGUGAAAUGCGUAGAUAUCUGGAGGAACACCGGUGGCGAAGGCGACUACCUGGCCUGUUCUUGACGCUGAGGCGCGAAAGCUAGGGGAGCAAACGGGG